ACACCUGAGUUAAUUCUGCCGAAAUGAGGAGUUUGGCUUGCACCUCGCUCUGAUUUCCUUCCUCUUCCUUGAAAACCAACAUGUCCCCAAGUGCCCUUAAACACAGGGACAGCCACUCAUACUUGAUAUAUGCUGGCAGUCCCAGGGAGAUGAGGGAGAGAAUUUUCUAGCAGCUAACGGUCAUCACUCUGGAACCCAGCUUCUAAAAAUAGAUGAAGAAAGAGAUUAUGCAUGGUGGUGGAGGGAAGACACUAUGGAGGUCCAAGGAGAUGGUACCCUGUGUAAGCCAAGGACUGCAGCCUCAAGAGAAACCCGUCUACCCAUGCCUUGAUCUUGGAUUUCCAACCUCCACAUUGGCUUUUGGGUAGUUGGUCCUAUGACUGAAGGCCCCUUCUGCUCUACGACGAAGACUGGCAAAACUCGCCUCAGCCCCCAGAGCAAGGCUAACCUAUCCACUCUACUCAUCAAAGAUCACCAUUCUCUCUGAUAUCUAAAAGGCGCUUUCUGCUUGUCACUUACUGUGGGAUAGUCAUUACUUCUAAUGUAUCGGACUGUGUACCCUCGUCUUAGGUUUUCUGUUGUUUCUAGGAAAGUGAAGGUUUCUCAAGGACGAGGGAAUUACAGUGUGCUUUAUGGAGGUUCCGUAGUGUCUGCUGCAAAGCUGAGUGGAAUAACAUCUUCAAAAAAUGCAACUGCACCUGGAGUCAAAGGCACAAGAGAUAUUAAUCAUAUCGAGUCAACCUGUUUUCAGUCAACUGUGUAAAAAGCUACUGAUUCAUGGCUGAGUGCUACUUCUUUGAGGCAACCUAAAUAACAGACAAUUCUUUUCUUUUCUUUUCUUUUUUUUUCCUGGAGCUGGGGACCGAACUCAGGGCCUUGUGCUUGCUAGGCAAGUGCUCUACCACUGAGCUAAAUCCCCAACCCCGACAAUCCUUUAUAUAGCCACCGACUUGCUAAUUUGCUGGCAACCUGAAGCUGGUCCCUAAUUUGUGCUAACAAACUCUAUCUCUAAGAAAGAGAUACAGAACUUGAAAAACAAAGAUUAAAAAUAAUAAUAAUUAAGUGACCACACCGUUACAAGUCCCAGAAUCAGUAACCUAAAGCUACUUGGGAAACAAUAAAAUUUCAAAAAAGUAAUAAUAAAAUAAAUGAUAAAUAAUAAUAUAAUAAUAAAUAAUAAAUAAAUAAAUAAUAAAAUAAUAAUAAAAAUAAUAAUUGCUUCAGCUUCCUGCUGCCUUGGUUUAUCAUGAUGGACUGCAUUUUGAACUAUGAGUAAAACUCAGGACAGAUAGUGGGAUGGUUUGCAUAUGCUUGGCUCAGGGAGUGGCACUAUUAGAAGGUGUGGCCUUGUUAGAGGAAGUGUGUCACUGUGGGGGGUGGGCUUGGAGACCCUCCUCCUAGCUGCUUGGGGAUGCUUAGACUGUUCCUGGCUUCCUUCAAGUGAAGAUGUAGAACUCUCAGCUCCUUCUCUAGUACUAUGUCUGCCUGCGUGCCUCCCACAAUAAUGGAGCAAACAUUUGAAAUUGUAAGUCAGCCCCAAUUAAAUG